rnacentral:rRNA from 1 species
UACGUAGGUGGCUAGCGUUGUCCGGAUUUACUGGGCGUAAAGAGCGCGCAGGCGGUCGUUCAAGUCGAGUGUGAAAGCCCCCGGCUCAACUGGGGAGGGUCACUCGAUACUGAUCGACUUGAAGGCGGGAGAGGGAAGCGGAAUUCCCGGUGUAGUGGUGAAAUGCGUAGAUAUCGGGAAGAACACCCGUGGCGAAGGCGGCUCUCUGGAACGCAACUGACGCUGAGACGCGAAAGCGUGGGGAGCAAACAGG